UACGUAGGAGGCGAGCGUUGUCCGGAAUCACUGGGUGUAAAGCGCGUGUAGGCGGCCUGCCAAGUCUGCUGUGAAAGCGCCUGGCUUAACCGGGCGAGGUCGGUGGAAACUGGCGGGCUGGAGGUCGGUAGAGGGGGGUGGAAUUCCCGGUGUAGUGGUGAAAUGCGUAGAGAUCGGGAGGAACACCAGUGGCGAAGGCGGCCCCGUGGGCCGUACCUGACGCUGAGACGCGAAAGCGCGGGGAGCGAACGGG
rnacentral:rRNA from 1 species